rnacentral:rRNA from 1 species
AUUGAACGCUAGCGGGAUGCCUUACACAUGCAAGUCGAACGGCAGCACGGACUUCGGUCUGGUGGCGAGUGGCGAACGGGUGAGUAAUGUAUCGGAACGUGCCUAGUAGCGGGGGAUAACUACGCGAAAGCGUAGCUAAUACCGCAUACGCCCUACGGGGGAAAGCAGGGGAUCGCAAGACCUUGCACUAUUAGAGCGGCCGAUAUCGGAUUAGCUAGUUGGUGGGGUAACGGCUCACCAAGGCGACGAUCCGUAGCUGGUUUGAGAGGACGACCAGCCACACUGGGACUGAGACACGGCCCAGACUCCUACGGGAGGCAGCAGUGGGGAAUUUUGGACAAUGGGGGAAACCCUGAUCCAGCCAUCCCGCGUGUGCGAUGAAGGCCUUCGGGUUGUAAAGCACUUUUGGCAGGAAAGAAACGUCAUGGGUUAAUACCCCGUGAAACUGACGGUACCUGCAGAAUAAGCACCGGCUAACUACGUGCCAGCAGCCGCGGUAAUACGUAGGGUGCAAGCGUUAAUCGGAAUUACUGGGCGUAAAGCGUGCGCAGGCGGUUCGGAAAGAAAGAUGUGAAUCCCAGAGCUUAACUUUGGAACUGCAUUUUUAACUACCGAGCUAGAGUGUGUCAGAGGGAGGUGGAAUUCCGCGUGUAGCAGUGAAAUGCGUAGAUAUGCGGAGGAACACCGAUGGCGAAGGCAGCCUCCUGGGAUAACACUGACGCUCAUGCACGAAAGCGUGGGGGAGCAAACAGG